UACGUAGGGGGCGAGCGUUAUCCGGAUUCACUGGGUGUAAAGGGAGCGUAGACGGCAUGGCAAGUCUGGAGUGAAAGCCCGGGGCCCAACCCCGGGACUGCUCUGGAAACUGGUAUGCUAGAGUGCUGGAGAGGUAAGUGGAAUUCCUAGUGUAGCGGUGAAAUGCGUAGAUAUUAGGAGGAACACCAGUGGCGAAGGCGGCUUACUGGACAGUGACUGACGUUGAGGCUCGAAAGCGUGGGGAGCAAACAGG
rnacentral:rRNA from 1 species